UACGUAGGCAGCAAGCGUUGUUCGGAGUUACUGGGCGUAAAGGGUGUGUAGGCGGCUCGGUAAGUCCGCUGUAAAAGUCAAAGGCUCAACCUUUGAAUGUCAGUGGAUACGGCCGGGCUAGAGUCCGGAAGAGGCGAGUGGAACUCCUGGUGUAGCGGUGGAAUGCGCAGAUAUCAGGAAGAACACCAACGGCGAAGGCAGCUCGCUGGGACGGUACUGACGCUGAGACGCGAAAGCGUGGGGAGCGAACAGG
rnacentral:rRNA from 1 species